UACAGAGGAUGCAAGCGUUAUCCGGAAUGAUUGGGCGUAAAGCGUCUGUAGGUGGCUUUUUAAGUCCGCCGUCAAAUCCCAGGGCUCAACUCUGGACAGGCGGUGGAAACUACCAAGCUAGAGUCCGGAAGAGGCGAGUGGAAUUCCUGGUGUAGCGGUGAAAUGCGCAGAUAUCGGGAGGAACACCAAUUGCGAAGGCAGCUCGCUGGAACGUAACUGACGCUGAGACGCGAAAGCGUGGGGAGCAAACAGG
rnacentral:rRNA from 1 species